AGAAAUCUUUUGUAUCAAUACCGCAAGAGGUGGGGCAGCCCAUGCAUGCAUCAUCGCCUCAACACAUGCAUGCAUGAUUAACAUACAACAGUAGUUCCAAAUUGUUAUACCUAAACAAACUCUAUCUAAUUCUUAACUCCGUCCCAGGUGGUGUUGCAUCAGCAUUUUCUUAUAAAGAUAUAUAGGUUAAAAAAAUAAUAACUGCUUUAGGCGUUUAUAUCUGACAUUGUUAAUUUGAU